rnacentral:rRNA from 1 species
CCUACGGGAGGCAGCAGUGAGGAAUAUUGGUCAAUGGACGCAAGUCUGAACCAGCCAUGCAGCGUGCAGGAAGACUGCUCUAUGAGUUGUAAACUGCUUUUAUACGAGGGUAAACCCAUAUACGCGUGUCUUUCUGAAAGUAUCGUACGAAUAAGGAUCGGCUAACUCCGUGCCAGCAGCCGCGGUAAUACGGAGGAUUCAAGCGUUAUCCGGAUUUAUUGGGUUUAAAGGGUGCGUAGGCGGUCUGAUAAGUUAGUUGUGAAAGUCCGAGGCUCAACCUUGGAAUUGCAUCUGAAACUGUUAGGCUAGAGAGCAGUUGCGGUAGGCGGAAUGUAUGGUGUAGCGGUGAAAUGCUUAGAGAUCAUACAGAACACCGAUUGCGAAGGCAGUUCACCAAGCUACUUCUGACACUGAGGCACGAAAGCGUGGGGAGCAAACAGGAUUAGAUACCCUGGUAGUC